AUGUAUACAUCCAAACAACCUUUUCUUAAAUCUAAGCAACCCUUUAGUAAAUCCAAGCAAACUUUUAAUAAAUCCAAGCAAACUUUUCAUAAAUUCAAGCAACCUUUUCGUAAAUCUAAACAACCUUUUCGUAGGAGUCCUCAGAUUGGCCUGGGAGAUCGAAUUGAUUAUAGAAACAUGAGUUUAAUUAAUAGAUUUACUAGUGAACAAGGAAAAAUAUUAUCGAGACAAAAAAAUAGAUUAACCUUUAAACAACAACGAUUAAUUACUCUUGCUAUAAAACAAGUACAUUCAAAACAUACUGAUUUAGAAGGGUCCGAUUUUUUCCCACAUUGA
rnacentral:rRNA from 1 species